GCUUACGGCCACACCUCCUGGUUCACGCCUGAUCUCGGAAGCUAAGAUAGGUUGGUCCUGGUUAGUACUUGGAUGGGAGACCGCCUGGGAAUACCAGGUGCUGUAAGCU
ensembl:rRNA 5S_rRNA 5S ribosomal RNA